rnacentral:rRNA from 1 species
GACGGGACCCGCACAAGCGGUGGAUGAUGUGGUUUAAUUCGAUGCAACGCGAAAACCUUACCCACCUUGACAUGUACGGAACCCUUUAGAGAUAGAGGGGUGCUCGAAAGAGAGCCGUGACACAGGUGCUGCAUGGCUGUCGUCAGCUCGUGUCGUGAGAUGUUGGGUUAAGUCCCGCAACGAGCGCAACCCUUGUCAUUAGUUGCUACAUUCAGUUGGGCACUCUAAUGAGACUGCCGGUGACAAGCCGGAGGAAGGUGGGGAUGACGUCAAGUCCUCAUGGCCCUUAUAGGUGGGGCUACACACGUCAUACAAUGGCUGGUACAAAGGGUUGCCAACCCGCGAGGGGGAGCCAAUCCCAUAAAGCCAGUCGUAGUCCGGAUCGUAGUCUGCAACUCGACUACGUGAAGUCGGAAUCGCUAGUAAUCGUGGAUCAGAAUGUCACGGUGAAUACGUUCCCGGGUCUU